AUACGGAGGGUGCAAGCGUUAAUCGGAAUUACUGGGCGUAAAGGGUUCGUAGGCGGUUAUUCAAGUCAGAUGUGAAAGCCCCGGGCUCAACCUGGGAAUUGCAUCUGAUACUGGGUAACUAGAGUUUAAGAGAGGAGUGUGGAAUUUCCGGUGUAGCGGUGAAAUGCAUAGAGAUCGGAAGGAACAUCAGUGGCGAAGGCGGCACUCUGGCUUAAAACUGACGCUGAGGAACGAAAGCGUGGGUAGCAAACAGGAUUAGAUACCCUAGUAGUCC
rnacentral:rRNA from 1 species